GGCGCGGCGGAGGGGGCAGGGGGCAGCGUGGCUGCGGUCGUCAGCUGUUUGUGUGGCGCGGAGAAGCUGGGCGGUCGACAACGCUAAACCUAGACGCGUACUAGCUUCCCGUGGGAUACUACACGAAGACUUCCAGCCACUAUGGCGGGGAGGCCCAUCCCCGGCACUCACAGUCAUCCCCACGGCUACCACGGCCAGACUCCUGUUGUAGCAGCACCACCGACGACUCCAUGUCACAUUCCUCCACCUGAUGAAGCUGCCAUCGCUCGCAUGCGCCUGGUGUCAUCUCGACAGAGUGCCUGUAAGGACCACCACACAACCCACUGCACAGCAACUCUGUUCAGCAUGUGCCGCUGCCAACUGCGCUCUCAUUGUCUCAGAGGCCAGCCUUCUUAACUAUGGCUCAAACAAACUGUACAGCUCAUGGAGUAAUGUUAAGAAUGUAUGCAUACAGUUGGAUCACAAAACUAAAUACGUCACACAAGAUGUGAAUGCUACACCAUUCGAAAAGAAUAGAAACCAGUGGUCCAAAUAAUAUUUUACGAAAUUACUAUGGAGACAGACACAACAUCAUAGUUUUGCUUAAUUAUUUAAGAAAGCACAACGACCAACAGCCUUAAUUUCCAAAGAGGAUUUUGCAACUGACUGCCAAGUAGUAACAACAGCCUACCUCAUGAGUCGUGACAUAACAGCAAUGUAGCAGCAGCCUGUUAAGAACUCAGAAACUUGAGCUGCAGAAUUCAGAGAUAGUCAGGGGGACUUAUAUGGGAUGGGUUUAGUGUAAAACAGUUGAAGAAAUGACCAGUAACAGCAAUACACUCAUAAGUUAAAUCUCCGUCCUUGUAAUAUUGUUGUAUAUGCUCUUCUUCAUCAGACUGCUGCUGGCCAAACAAUUGUUGUAGCACUUGAGGCAAGAGAGAGACCUUCAACUAUGAAUACAACAAGAGAACAACACAAUUCACACAAAAUGGGACACAGAUGAGGUAACGAAAAUCACAAAAGUACAUGACAUAAAGUGCUUUACUUUGGCCCAUAAAGCAAGUCAGUAAAUUUAAUUGACAGUGUAAGUCUAACACAUGUGUUUCUGUUACCUUAAUUAAUGGAAAUUAAUAUAUGUUUAUUGAUGGGAAUUGUACAGUUUCUCUGGUUUUCACUAAAUGACACAGAAUUUUUGUGUAUGUUAAGAUAUUCUGUAAUGAUGAAAGCAUUCACAACUGCUGAAAAUCAGCCUCUCAUAUUACAGUAUCUCUAUAAAUCUAUACCACUAAUGUUCUUCAUGUUGUAAGUCAAGAGCUACAAUUUCAAAAACUAAUGAGAAGUUUUCAUUUAAAAGACAUUUCAGUUAUAUUGUGUGGAUGACUCAGAUUUUUAUGAGCAAUGUACCACAGAUAGGUUACUAGAACAACAUUGGCUGCUUCAUGACCUCAGCUGUUUCACAUCCUAAGGCCCUAACAAACAAAACAAAACAAAACCAAAUAAACUAAGCAGAUAUAUAUUGCGCAAUAUAUAUUCGAUAUAAUCAUUGAAUCAGUGUUUCAAACAGAAAGACAUCAUUCAUGCCAGAUAGCAUAGAUUUCAAGUACAUUGAUUAUGUGAAAUCCAAGUCUCAAUUUUAUUACACGUUACUUAAAAUAUAUCAUUUAGUGCAGUCAGAUGGAUACAGUAUUUUUCAUUUUCAUAGCAAUGUUUAUUGAUGAAGGUAUGAUUUCAUGGGAUGUUAAAUGUAAUUUGUUACUGAAUUAAGCUUUUAUUGGUAGGGAGAGUCAUUGACAAAGUAAAAGCAACUUCAGGUAUAGCCCAUUGAGUUGUUUUGAUGUGCUGUUAUAUUUUAUGUUAAUAAACUAGCAGAGAAUAACGGUAAUUUCAGAGUUUUUAUAGAUGACACAGUUGUCCAUAAUGAAGUGUUAUCAGAUGAAAACUGUAUAAAUACUAUGAUCUUAAUAAGAUUCAAAAUUGGUGCAGAGAUUGGCACUUGCUUUAAAUAUUCAGAAAUAUAGUGCUGUGCACUUUACAGAACAUUAAAACUUAGUGUCCUAUGAUUCCUACGUUAAUGAGUCACACAUGGAAUGAGUCAACUUUUACAAACACCUGUGUGUAACAGUUUUUAGGGAUGUGAAAGGGAUUGUUGACAUAGGCUCUGACAGGAUACUAAGAAAGUAUUUACAACACACCUAUUUUGUGUAUUAUUUUAAUAUUGCUCUUUGUUACACCCAUGGCAGAUAGAAC